AGAGAGUCGGAUUAAGACUUGAAAUUAGUGGUUGCCAGAGUGCCAGAGAGAGUCAGAUUAAGAUUUGGAAUUAGUGGUUGCCAGAUGGUACCAGAGAGAGUCAGAUUAAGCUUGAGAAUAGUCAGUCAAACUGAAAAGUCUAUCACCACCCAACAAAUCCUAUUAAUUGAGACUUAAAAGCAAUUACUCAUAUAUAUUAAUACAUCAACAUUUGGUGUUUAUAUAAAUUGGCAUUCUCCCAUUGUUCUCCUUGCGAAAGUCUCCAGACACACUAUAGCAUAGCAUUUGUGUUUUCUCAAGUCAUGGGCACUGCUCUCCGACUUCUUAUUCAUUAUGGCAGGCACGAUUUUGCAAGGAACGAUGCGAACCCAAGUGGGAGCUGGCCCUUUGUAUUGCUUUGAUGUGGGCUACAUAACGUGCCCCUCCUUAGGAGACCAAAACCUACCGGGCGUAUGCAAUUGCUGCCGCGCUCCCAAAGAUGCGCCCUCCAUCUCAAUGAUGGCUCUCUCCUCCACUGCAACUAGACCCCUUCCCUCUCUCCGAUCUUCGCUUGUAGACAUUGAAUAAUGGACAACAUUUUAUGACAUCAAGCUUCAUCUCUCUCUCUCUCUCUUUCUCAAGAUUUUGAAUAAUGGAAAACAUUUUAGUAUUGUACCCCCUUUUAAGUUCAAGGGGUUUUACACGUGGGAAUAGUUUAUCUAAGGGGUCAACAAGUCCAACGCUCAUAAAAAAAUAUAGGGAGGAAACCCCUAUGCCUAAAAAUCUAUGUUUACAUUAAAUCAUGAAAUUUAAAGUUUCUCAAAAACAUUAUGAAAUGGAAACGUAGAAAAAUAGUGCAGAUUGAGCAGAUAAUGCGCAUAAAAUAUACUAUUUUUAAUACUUCAAAUCUUUUUCUUCGUAUUCAUGUAUUUUGAGAUUGACAUGAUCAAUUUGAUAAUUUUCGAAUAACAAUUUCAUUUAGAUUUUUUAGGUGGGCCUUACUUUUAUUGUAUAAGGUUGUUGCUUUGUACAGUUUAUUUUUCUGUACAUAUUACACUAAUCAAGAAUAAAAAAUUCUAUGCUCAAGGAGGAGCAUGUUGGAGAUUCACUCCCUUAGAUAAACACUAAUAAGAGGCAUUCCUAGGACUCCAAAAGGGCCAUUCCUCAAGCCAGCAAGCAAUAUUUUAUUUGCACACUGAGCCCCUGAAAAGGAAAUAAUGUUCCCAUUUUGAAUCGAGACCAUCUAAUUUUUAGAUGGUCAGAUUUACUUAUUUAGGAACUUAAAAUAAAUUUUUGUUUGGGAGUACUUGUGGAUCCCAAAAUCUCACAUCCAAAGAUGCUUCUACGUAUGUAAUUUAUCCAAGAGUAAACCUGCAGUAUGUGCUCCAUUAGGAGCAUUGUAUACGAUCUCUUUAUCAAGAAAAAUGUGUGAUUCAUCGUGUAACUAGCUGGUUAUUUCUGAAAGGUCUAUGCAAUGGUAUGAUAACGUGUGUUCGAUUAAAAAAUAUUGAGUGAAUUACGUUCGGAAUAAAAAAAAAACUGCUAAAAUACGAAAUGAGUCAAUUUUUGGACAAAAUUAUACUGAAGGUUGGUCAACUUAAGGUUUUUUUUUAUUUUUUUUCAAAAUUGCCCCUUUGCCUUAGGAUACCAUUCAUGGAUUGCAUUUUAUUUAUUUAUUUUCUCUUUUAGUUUGUUCGAGAGUAGGGCUGUGCCCUAAUAUUUGGGUCAAUUCCCAAUCGGUCAGAUGCUAGCAUCAUCAUAGUGCCUUAUGUGGUGCUCUUCAAUGCAGUCCAAGGUUGGCAUCCUCGGACCGCAGAGACUAACUUUGUUAAGCAAUCAGAGGCAGUCUGAGUUGCCCAUUCUUGGACCACCUUCUAUGAUACUCUUCAGGUGGUUUGAGGUUGGCAUCCUCGAAUCACAUUAGCUCAUUUGUUUGCUAAGAAAUAAGGCGGUUCGAGGAUACCAACCUCAUAUUGACCUUCUGGACUGAGCGCUACCCUAUUAACAAAAAAAUAAAAAUUAAAAAGAGGUAUGAAGAUAUCAUCUUUGUGUUACAAUUGUUAAAGUGUAUUUUCUAGAAAGUAUAUUAAUUUAUUAUGAGUGAUGUAGCUGUUAGUAUUUUUUAUUUGAAAAAUACUUAUAUUUAUUUCAAAACAACAUUAUGGUAUAUCAUUCGUUUCUAAAUGCUUUGUAGAGAGAGAAAUAUGUGGGUUUGAUUCCCACAUUGAAGAGGAGAGAGUUUGUUGAGGUGUAUUUAAGAGAACUCAUUCUCAUGAAAUAUAUUCUAGUACAAAGGAUAGAGAAGGCACAUGUGCGGAGCACGCGAAGUGUGCGAGGGCGAGGGUAAGGGCGUUUGAUAGAGCACUUUGCACUCUAGCCGUCGAUGAGUGUGGGACAUCCACCGGUUAUCUAACCAUUGAUGAGAUGGAGGCUUGUAACAACAACCAUCAAGUGUAUGUAACUUGUAGUUGUUGGAGUGCAUGUAACUCAUAUAACUUGAGUGCAUGUAACUUGUAGUUGUUGGAGUGCAUGUAACUCAUAUAACUUGAGUGCAUGUAACUUGUAGUAGCCAUCAAGUGCAUGUAACUUGUAGUUGUUGGGGUGCAUGUAACUCAUAUAACUUGAGUACAUGUAACUUGUAGUUGUUGGGGUGCAUGUAGCUCAUAUCAAUUGUAGUUAUUGGGUGAUGCAUGUUACCACCACAACACUAAAUGGGCAGCAUCUUGGUGCUCUAUAAUAAGGGGCCUCCUACCCAUACAAUUUUGAAAAACUUGGAACAAUUUUUUAGUCUCUCAAGAGGCUAUUCUCUGCAAUUCCAACAAGCAAACCAGUGGGCUAACUCUCUCUCUACUCGAUUUUAUCUCUCUCUCUCUAAAGUAUCAAGACUCUGGUGUCUAUUAUGUGGGUUCCAAGCUCAGGUACAUAGAGCUUAGGAACAUUGUUAUAUACUUUAUGUUUUCUUGUAUCCCGAGGACGAAUUGCCGUUCUUAUGCACAACAAAUAGUCAAUCGAAGGGGGGCAAAUAUCGUCUUGAGAUAGUACUCCUACGUACCAGAAAACAAGAAGAGUUCGAGAUCUAAUUUUGCAAAUCGUACCAUUUUUUUGCCCCCAUUUCACUCACCAUAACUUCGACAGUUCAAGAUGAUAUUUCAUGGGUGAAAGAAAGGAGAUUGUCAUGACUUCUUUGAAGGUCAUGAAUCACGACUUUACUUGACUUGAACACUUCAACGGGCUGAAUUUCCCGAGAUGACAGCAAAAGGUUCUCUUUUUGCUUACCACUCUCAAAGUAGCUUAUAUAGUCAUCGAGUCAAUGCCUGCACCAUCGUCACCAUCGGAUGACUCUACUGAUGAGCAGACUCAAUCAUACAAGAGAUGGGUGGAGGAUCACUAUAUAUACAAAGGUCACAUCCUAAAUUCCUUAGCGGAUCCGAUCUAUGACAUGUAUGCCUCCAUUGGCACGGCGAGAGAGCUUUGGAAACUACUUGAAACCAAGUACCUCACGGAAGAGUCUGGUAACAAAAGAUUUCUGAUAUCUAAUUUUUUAGAUUUUAAA